GUGCACACUAUCUACAUCCCUUGCUUUGUAUUUCUUUAUUGAAACAAAUCACAGCAGUGAUUCCAGUAAAACUAAAAGCCAUAGUGAGCCUCCUCUAACAAACCAAAAUUAUGAUUAACUGUCAGCUAGCAAGUGCAUGCUAAAAGAUGGCAUACUCUAUGCUGCAAAGUGUCCAUAUUUCUACUGGACUGAUAACAAAGAGCUGUCUCAUCAUCCGUUUAUUGCUCGUCUGCGAAUGAAAUUCAAAAUGGCAUUGUUAGGAAUCGGAAACCAAUCUAUUUUCAGCAGAGCAAGCAACAACCUGUCGAUCCUGUGACAAGUGUGGAGGACAUGUUUCAUCCUUACAUUCGGAAUAACGUUAGGACAUUGUCAAGGACGACAAGAACAAGAAGCAGCACAUGGACACAUAACUACAAACAUUGGUUCCGGUGAAAACUGCUGUAGAUCAUAAGUGCUGCCAUGGGAACUUAGUUUGAAGACAAUGCAGCGUGUUCGUUUUGGG